UCUGGAGUUCACUUUUUUGUUGCCUUAACCCUAUUGGCAAAGACUUGGCUAUAGAGUACUAAUUGUGAUGCAAGCAAGUUCUUUUGCCAAUGGCAACCAGCAGAGCUUCCCCUGAAGAUUGGAGGGGAUGAGUCAGGGGCAAGGAAGGAUUAACAGAUUCUGCCUCAAGUCCUGGUGAACCAACUCCUCUCCCCAAGACAGACACAUACUAGUGAAAUAAAUUGGAUUUAAAUCAUCACCUGAGGCAAUCCUGAAAGAGAAAAGCAGUCCUAGAAAAGAGUGGAGGAAAAGAGGACAGCCCCAUUCUCUUUGUGACCACGAAGACUGCCGCCAUGUGGUUGGGAGCCACGUAACUUCUUUUAGUGCCAGCUGAGAUUCUUCUGCCCUGGAACUAGUUCCUCCGAGUUAUUGCCAGGCCUGGAGAUUGAAUUCCUGCAGCUGGAAGGUGGGGAAAGUUGCCAGAGCGAAGGAAGUAAAAGCAUCCACUAUGAGAUUCACCAGAGGGGUUUGACCAGCUUUAGAAGGAGAAU
rnacentral:lncRNA from 1 species